AACUAUUUAUUGCCAACAAAAAAAUAUGCUAGCAUUAGCAUGAGCUAGCAUCCAUGCACUUACUGUCCAUGCCGGGAAACGGCAGCGGCUGCGCCCCCAGCUGCUGCUCCACGGCGAUCUCCAGGUCGAACUUGAUGUGAUCCACAUUUGCUAAAGAUGACUCCUGAGCGGCAGCCGCGCAGCGUCUUAUGGGUUGUCGUGGAAACGAUAUCACAAUGCUCGAAAGGUGACGGCACAACCCCAGCAGCAACCAACCCGCUGAUGUGAGCCAUAUCUCCCAUCAGGUAGGCCCCGUUCUCAUUAGCAAUCUGCUUCAAGCGGGCGUAGUCGAGGUUCCGGGAAUAGCAGCUGGUUCCUACGAGCAGAAGGAGACAGUUUUAGAACAUUUUAUAGCAAACCUGCAGCCUGUGUGUGUGAGUUAAAGAACCUGCAAUGAUGAGCUUAGGGUGAAAGAGUCGUGCGUUUUCUUGAAGCCUGUCAUAGUCGAUGUAGCCGGUUUCUUGAUUCACCUUGAAAAAAGGAAUAGUUUAGGUGGUCUACUCUGAAAAUGCAUCAAUUAGUUGUCACUUUUUUUCAUACAGACACAUAAAUCACUCGUCUUUGAGAAACACCCAGAUUCCUAGGUAACAGCCCACAUAUAUACUCGUUUAUACCUUAUAUGGCAUGGACUCAAAGAAGAUAGAUGUUGCAGAGAUCUUCUUCUUGUCAGUCAUGAAGCCGUGUGUCAGGUGACCUCCAUCGGGAAGGUCCAGCCCCAUGAUCCUGCCAUGAGGUUCAACAACAGCCGUGUACACGGCAAAGUUGGCCGGAGAACCUUCCAAAGAAACACAGUAAAUGAAAUCCAUGUUUUGCAGAACCGGCUCCAGAAGAGAAACCGUGAAUAUGUCAAAAAGUUUAGAAAACAUGCUUUAUUUUCAAUUAAAUUUGACUUUUGGUAAAUGAUAUUAGCAUUAAUUUUCAAUGCCUUUUGGGCAGACUCCAGACACUGCCCCCUAAAGGUUGAGAUUGGAAUUGUGGUUGAGUCUGUACUUUAGAUUUCUUUUCCUGCUAAUUAAACGAUUUAUUGGAAUUUUGCAGAAUACUUUAAUUUUUUUUUUUUUUUAAAUACUUUAACAAAAGGGGUUAUUUUAACUUGAGGGGCCACUUAGAUGGUCAGCAGUUUCAAGAGGUUUCUCUAGUAGAAGUUCCAUCUCUUAAGAUUAUUCUCUCAAAGGUACCAUACCAGAGUAUGGCUGCACGUUGACUCCCCAUUUCUCCGGGUCCAGACUAAAGGCCUCCAGUGCUCUCUUCUGACACAGCCUCUCCAGCUCGUCAAUGUGCUCUGUGCCACCAUAAUACCUAAACACACGUUCACAAUUGUAAUGGGAGGUAGGCAAACUUCAGUGGUCUAGUAAUGACUGAAUGCUGACCUUUGGCCAGGAUAACCUUCAGAGUACUUGUUGUUCAUGCAAGAUCCCAGAGCUUCAAGAACAGCCCUGCUGGCAAAAUUCUCAGAUGCUAUCAGCUCCAAACCGUACGUCUGCCUCUUCUUUUCUUUCUUUAUGAUGGAAAAAAUCUGAACAGAAACAGAAAUGGUGUCGUGACAACAAACGUACAAAAACCACACCGCACAUCUGAGAGUGAUCCAGGAAGAAACAAACCUCAGGGUCGUUGAUGGACAGAGGCUCCAACAUCAUCUUGUUGUGAGAGUCCCAGGUUUCUUUAUUGAUGCUGUGGCCAUUCGUCAAAGCCAUGUUUGUUUCUUUACUGGUUUAAAGUAGAUAAUAUCUACAAAUAAAAAUAAAAUAAAAAGUUUAAGCGAAUCAGCUAAACAAAUCCACAGAAAUACUUAUUUAAGGGAAAUAAGUGUACAUUAACUAGUAAAAGCCACAUAAACAUGAAUAAUAAAACACAUAAUAGCUGUUCAGUGUUUCCAAAUACUGUGAUAAAGAGACUGCUGACAUGCCAUCCUCCCAAACUACUGACACAUUUCACACAAAAGCUUCACAAUCCUCUACUGCCUGACACAAAAUGUUUCAACCUCUGUCCUCUGCACAGAUAUGGUCUCAACGAGUAACCUUUGAACCACGACGGUCCCGUCAAACCAAAUUAAAAAACACAUUUAUUAAAAAAAAAA